rnacentral:rRNA from 1 species
UACGUAGGGGGCAAGCGUUGUCCGGAAUCAUUGGGCGUAAAGAGCGUGUAGGCGGCCCGGUAAGUCCGCUGUAAAAGUCAAAGGCUCAACCUUUGAAUGUCAGUGGAUACUGCCGGGCUAGAGUCCGGAAGAGGCGAGUGGAACUCCUGGUGUAGCGGUGGAAUGCGCAGAUAUCAGGAAGAACACCAACGGCGAAGGCAGCUCGCUGGGACGGUACUGACGCUAAGGCGCGAAAGCGUGGGGAGCGAACGAGG